UUUUACGUAGAGUUUGACUGAGUAGCAUGAGCUGCUGUCGCUCGAUUUAGGUGACAGUGGCGACUCUUGAUUACGGUUAUCGUCACUCGAUGGAGGUGGCAAGGUUAU